AGAAUCAACGCUGGCGGCGUGCCUAACACAUGCAAGUCGAACGCGAAGACCCCGCAAGGGGUUGGUAGCGUGGCAAACGGGUGAGUAACGCGUGGGCGACCUACCUCAGAGUGGGGGAUAACCUUCCGAAAGGGAGGCUAAUACCGCAUGACAUCCCGUGUUUAGAUACACGGUGAUCAAAGCCGGGGAUCGCAAGACCUGGCGCUUGGAGAGGGGCCCGCGUCCGAUUAGCUAGUUGGUGGGUAACGCUCACCAAGGCUCCGAUCGGUA
rnacentral:rRNA from 1 species